UGAUUAGCUUGUUGGUGAGGUAAAGGCUCACCAAGGCGACGAUCAGUAGCUGGUUUGAGAGAACGACCAGCCACACUGGAACUGAGACACGGUCCAGACUCCUACGGGAGGCAGCAGUGGGGAAUUUUGGACAAUGGAGGAAACUCUGAUGCAGCGAUGCCGCGUGAGUGAAGAAGGCCCUUGGGUUGUAAAGCUCUUUCGUCGGGGAAGAAAAUGACUGUACCCGAAUAAGAAGGUCCGGCUAACUUCGUGCCAGCAGCCGCGGUAAUACGAAGGGACCUAGCGUAGUUCGGAAUUACUGGGCUUAAAGAGUUCGUAGGUGGUUGAAAAAGUUAGUGGUGAAAUCCCAGAGCUUAACUCUGGAACUGCCAUUAAAACUUUUCAGCUAGAGUAUGAUAGAGGAAAGCAGAAUUUCUAGUGUAGAGGUGAAAUUCGUAGAUAUUAGAAAGAAUACCGAUUGCGAAGGCAGCUUUCUGGAUCAUUACUGACACUGAGGAACGAAAGCAUGGGUAGCGAAGAGGAUUAGAUACCCUCGUAGUCCAUGCCGUAAACGAUGUGUGUUAGACGUUGGAAAUUUAUUUUCAGUGUCGCAGGGAAACCGAUAAACACACCGCCUGGGGAGUACGACCGCAAGGUUAAAACUCAAAUGAAUUGACGGGGACCCGCACAAGUAGUGGAGCAUGUGGUUUAAUUCGAAGAUACGCGCAGAACCUUACCAACACUUGACAUGUUCGUCGCGACUCUAAGAGAUUAGAGUUUUCGGUUCGGCCGGACGAAACACAGGUGCUGCAUGGCUGUCGUCAGCUCGUGUCGUGAGAUGUUGGGUUAAGUCCCGCAACGAGCGCAACCCUCACUUUUAGUUGCCAUCAUUAAGUUGGGCACUCUGAAAGAACUGCCAGUGAUAAGCUGGAGGAAGGUGGGGAUGACGUCAAGUCCUCAUGGCCCUUACGUGUUGGGCUACACACGUGCUACAAUGGUAUCUACAACAGGAAGCAAGACUGCGAAGUUAAGCAAAUCCCUAAAAGAUACCUCAGUUCGGAUUGCACUCUGCAACUCGAGUGCAUGAAGCUGGAAUUACUAGUAAUCGUGGAUCAGCGUGCCACGGUGAAUGCGUUCCCGGGUCUUGUACACACCGCCCGUCACACCAUGGGAGUUGGUUCUACCUUAAGGCAAGGUUUCAAACCCUUGACCACGGUAUAGUCAGCGACUGGGGUGAAGUCGUAACAAGGUAGCCGUA
rnacentral:rRNA from 1 species